rnacentral:rRNA from 1 species
CCCAAGAGAUCGGGAUAACACCUGGAAACAGAUGCUAAUACCGGAUAACAAUAGAUGAUGCCUAUCAACUGUUUAAAAGAUGGUUCUGCUAUCACUCUUGGAUGGACCUGCGGUGCAUUAGCUAGUUGGUAGGGUAACGGCCUACCAAGGCGAUGAUGCAUAGCCGAGUUGAGAGACUGAUCGGCCACAUUGGGACUGAGACACGGCCCAAACUCCUACGGGAGGCAGCAGCA